UCUCAUUUUCUGGGUAAGUGCACUUAAUAUUUAUAGAUCUCUACAGUAUUCUUUGCAGGGGGUGAGACUCAGGUUAUGCUGGACGGAACAAGCCUUGGGGCAAAGAAAUGCAUGAGACCGGUUCACAGGACACUGUGGAGUCCCGGUGUCCCUGAGGACAGCGAUGGAACCGUCUUCCUUUGACUCUUGUUUCAAGUUGCCCAGGUUCAGGGCUGUCUCCCAAAAGCAACAAUUUCCAUUUGAAUCUUUGGAAAUA
rnacentral:lncRNA from 1 species